rnacentral:tRNA from 1 species
CGGCGAGGGCGCCCCGGGUACGGGUGACGACGGCCUUGGAGGCCGCCCAACUCCAGUAACCGAUGGGCUGCUGGAUCAGUUCGGCGUCGCCGU